GCCGGGGUGGUGGAAUUGGUAGACACGUAUGGUUGAGGGCCAUAUGAGUAUUUAAACUCGUGCGGGUUCAAGUCCCGCCCCCGGCACCA
rnacentral:tRNA from 1 species